ACGAACGCUGGCGGCGUGCUUAACACAUGCAAGUCGAACGCGAAAGGGACUUCGGUCCCGAGUAGAGUGGCGCACGGGUGAGUAACGCGUAAGUGAUCUACCCCUGUAUUUGGGAUAACUAUGGGAAACUGUAGCUAAUACCGGAUACGUUCAUGUUCUUGCGAGUAUAUGAAGAAAGAUGGCCUCUGAUUCAAGCUAUUGUACAGGGAGGAGCUUGCGUACCAUUAGCUAGUUGGUAGGGUAAUGGCCUACCAAGGCAACGAUGGUUAGCGGGUCUGAGAGGAUGAUCCGCCACACUGGAACUGAAACACGGACCAGACUCCUACGGGAGGCAGCAGUGAGGAAUAUUGCGCAAUGGGGGCAACCCUGACGCAGCGACGCCGCGUGGAUGAUGGCCUUCGGGUUGUAAAGCACUUUUAUGAGGGAAGAGCAAGGACUGUACCUCAUGAAUAAGGAUCGGCUAACUACGU
rnacentral:rRNA from 1 species